rnacentral:lncRNA from 1 species
UUCUACUUACCUGCAGUCCCUGCAAUGAAUUGCAUAUAUUAAUAGGACUUCCGGUACAGAGAAAUUAUAAAGAGUUAUCAUAUAAGUAUCUUGUAAAGCAAUCACUGAUUUCUUUCUCUUAUUUUUAGGCCAUUUGGGUCAAGAGUAGCUAUAUAAGUAGGACAAUUCUUUUUUCAAUGAUCCAGCUUCUUACAGAAGAAGCACUCUACCUGGCUCUUAUCAACUUUUGAUAAUUUAUUCUGCUUA